rnacentral:rRNA from 1 species
GACGAACGCUGGCGGCGUGCUUAACACAUGCAAGUCGAACGGUAAGGCCCUUUCGGGGGUACACGAGUGGCGAACGGGUGAGUAACACGUGGGUGAUCUGCCCUGCACUUUGGGAUAAGCCUGGGAAACUGGGUCUAAUACCGGAUAGGACUACGCGAUGCAUGUCGUGUGGUGGAAAGCUUUUGCGGUGUGGGAUGGGCCCGCGGCCUAUCAGCUUGUUGGUGGGGUGAUGGCCUACCAAGGCGACGACGGGUAGCCGGCCUGAGAGGGUGUCCGGCCACACUGGGACUGAGAUACGGCCCAGACUCCUACGGGAGGCAGCAGUGGGGAAUAUUGCACAAUGGGUGCAAGCCUGAUGCAGCGACGCCGCGUGGGGGAUGACGGCCUUCGGGUUGUAAACCCCUUUCAGCACAGACGAAGCGUAAGUGACGGUAUGUGCAGAAGAAGCACCGGCCAACUACGUG